UUCGAUGCAACGACGAAGAACCUUACCUGGUCUUGACAUCCCGGAGACCCUUAGGAAACUAGGGGGUGCUUCCAUCUGGAAGAAUCUGGAGACAGGUGCUGCAUGGCUGUCGUCAGCUCGUGUCGUGAGAUGUUGGGUUAAGUCCCGCAACGAGCGCAACCCUUGCCUUUAGUUGCCAGCAGUUCGGCUGGGCACUCUAAAGGGACUGCCGGUGUUAAGCCGGAGGAAGGUGGGGAUGACGUCAAGUCCUCAUGGCCUUUAUGACCAGGGCUACACACGUACUACAAUGGCCGAUACAAAGGGCAGCGACACUGCGAGGUGAAGCCAAUCCCGUAAAAUCGGUCUCAGUCCGGAUUGGAGUCUGCAACUCGACUCCAUGAAGUUGGAAUCGCUAGUAAUCGUGGAUCAGCAUGCCACGGUGAAUACGUUCCCGGGCCUU
rnacentral:rRNA from 1 species